rnacentral:rRNA from 1 species
UACGAAGGGGGGCUAGCGUUGCUCGGAAUCACUGGGCGUAAAGCGCACGUAGGCGGCUUUUUAAGUCAGGGGUGAAAUCCUGGAGCUCAACUCCAGAACUGCCUUUGAUACUGGGAAGCUUGAGUCCGGAAGAGGUGAGUGGAAUUCCGGGUGUAGUGGUGGAAUGCGUAGAGAUCCGGAGGAACACCAGCGGCGAAGGCAGCUCGCUGGGACGGUACUGACGCUGAGACGCGAAAGCGUGGGGAGCGAACAGG